UUUAAGCGGAUCUGGAACAGCGUGAAGGGCUUCCUUGACCCAAAAACUUCAUCCAAGAUUCAUGUGCUUGGUUCGAACUACCAGAGCAGGCUUCUUGAAGUAAUAGAUUCGAGUGAGCUGCCAGAAUUCCUUGGGGGUUCAUGCAC